rnacentral:rRNA from 1 species
AAUACCGCGUGUGUGAAGAAGGCCUUAGGGUUGUAAAGCACUUUCAAUUGGAAGGAAAAACUCAUGGCCAAUACCCGUGAGCUUGACAUUACCUUUAGAAGAAGCACCGGCUAACUCCGUGCCAGCAGCCGCGGUAAUACGGAGGGUGCAAGCGUUAAUCGGAAUUACUGGGCGUAAAGCGUGCGUAGGCGGCUCGCUAAGUCAGAUGUGAAAGCCCCGGGCUCAACCUGGGAACGGCAUUUGAAACUGGCAAGCUAGAGUUUAGGAGAGGAGAGUGGAAUUUCAGGUGUAGCGGUGAAAUGCGUAGAGAUCUGAAGGAACACCAGUGGCGAAGGCGACUCUCUGGCCUAAAACUGACGCUGAGGUACGAAAGCGUGGGUAGCAAACAGGAUUAGAUACCCUGGUAGUCCUCGCCGUAAACGAUGUCAACUAG